rnacentral:rRNA from 1 species
UACGAACUGUGCAAACGUUAUUCGGAAUCACUGGGCUUAAAGGGUGCGUAGGCGGCUUAUCAAGUCGGGUGUGAAAGCCCCCGGCUUAACCGGGGAAUUGCGCCCUAAACUGACGAGCUGGAGUGGGACAGGGGUGUGUGGAACUUCCGGUGGAGCGGUGAAAUGUGUUGAUAUCGGAAGGAACGCCGGUGGCGAAAGCGACACACUGGGUCUCAACUGACGCUGAGGCACGAAAGCCAGGGGAGCGAACGGG